UUAAAGUUGUUAAAGUAGUGAAUUUUAGGUUCAGCUUUUCCAAAGGAACUAUAGUGUUUUUUUCUACCAAAAUUGAUUGUUUGUUCCAUAUAUUAUUUCAUUCGUUAUUGAUUUUCUUAUUAAUGUUUAGUCUGAUGUUAAAUAAUAAAUAAUGGAGGUAUAGCAGUUUAUAUAGGUUGGUUGCAGUUCCAGCAGACAAGGGGAACAAAAGGGAAGGAGACGUCCAGUGUUGUAGGCCAUUCGAUAACCUUGACACAUGUCUCUCAUGUUUGGUCUAUUCCUGUUGCACCGAAGUGUGGUCCCUCGUGAUUCAUCUCUUGUUCGAAUGCAAAAGCAAGACCUCAUAGUUGUCAUGAUGUCUGUCAUAAUAUGCUUGACUUGGAAGCCAAAAACAAACAUUUGAUAGGCAAGACUUAAAGCUAGGUUGGUUCUGUUUUGGAGCAAACCAAGUCUCAAAGAUCACCACAUUUUUCAUUUUUCUAACCAUGUCUUCCCCUUAUGUGACCCGACCCUACAUUCAUUUCAUUCCCUAGUCAAGUCAAACUCCUCAAGAAUGAAAAUUUGCAAGAGCCGAAGUGCAAGGAAAGAGUUGUGUAACUGUGUUGUGUUGUGUAGUGCCAGAUGCCAUUCCUUGUCAGAAUCACUACUUGCCCUCACUAGACUCUAGCCACUAGUACCACUCUGCUUGCAAAAAGCAGAAUCAACAAAAAGAGAAAAAGAAAAAAGAUUUACCACUUUAUGUUUGUUGUUCGGACAGCAUUUACUAUUUGGUGUUCAGUUUGAAUGCAGUAGCAAUUUCAUCUAAUUAUUUAUUUUCUGUCACAAGACAUGAAUGAUUUAAA
rnacentral:sRNA from 1 species